rnacentral:rRNA from 1 species
GAUGAACGCUGGCGGCGUGCCUAAUACAUGCAAGUCGAGCGAACAGAUGAGGAGCUUGCUCCUCUGACGUUAGCGGCGGACGGGUGAGUAACGCGUGGAUAACCUACCUAUAAGACUGGGAUAACUUCGGGAAACCGGAGCUAAUACCGGAUAAUAUAUUGAACCGCAUGGUUCAAUAGUGAAAGACGGUUUUGCUGUCACUUAUAGAUGGAUCCGCGCCGCAUUAGCUAGUUGGUAAGGUAACGGCUUACCAAGGCAACGAUGCGUAGCCGACCUGAGAGGGUGAUAGGCCACACUGGAACUGAGACACGGUCCAGACUCCUACGGGAGGCAGCAGUAGGGAAUCUUCCGCAAUGGGCGAAAGCCUGACGGAGCAACGCCGCGUGAGUGAUGAAGGUCUUCGGAUCGUAAAACUCUGUUAUUAGGGAAGAACAAAUGUGUAAGUAACUAUGCACGUCUUGACGGUACCUAAUCAGAAAGCCACGGCUAACUACGUG